ACGCUGGAGAAGCUGUUCAGACUCAGCCUGGUCACUAAAACAAUACAACGAUGCAUGAUUAAUGCAUUAUGUGUGUAUCACUUUAAGUAAAAACCAUGGUGCGUUUGUAAUGAAGUGUCUCAAGUGUUUGAGGCAACAUAGAUAAAAACAAAAACUAUGGGAAUAAAGUUUGAUAAUGUAAUUGUAAUGCUUAUGUGUUUUGAGUUGUAUUAUGUGAUAUUUGCUUAAUAAAAAUCGUUUUGUAUACUUUUAUGUUAAUCUCUUUCAGUAUUGUGUGCCAGUGUACUACGAAAUUUUCACCAAUACCAAUUUCCUACGAGAUAUUUCCUACCAAAAUUUUCGUAAAAACGGUGAGAAACAAGUGUUCCUAUCAUUUUCUUAGAAUAUGUUCAGUUGGAAAUCAGAUAUUU
rnacentral:lncRNA from 1 species